UACGUAGGGGGCAAGCGUUGUCCGGAAUCAUUGGGCGUAAAGCGCACGUAGGCGGCCCUGUAAGUCCGUUGUGAAAGUCAAAGGCUCAACCUUUGAAUGCCGAUGGAUACUGCAGGGCUAGAGUCCGGAAGAGGCGAGUGGAAUUCCUGGUGUAGCGGUGGAAUGCGCAGAUAUCAGGAGGAACACCAAUAGCGAAGGCAGCUCGCUGGGACGGUACUGACGCUAAGGUGCGAAAGCCAGGGGAGCAAACGGG
rnacentral:rRNA from 1 species